rnacentral:tRNA from 1 species
GGAGAGGUGGCCGAGUGGUUGAAGGCGUUGCUCUCGAAAAGCAAUAUAUCCUUUUUCUGGGUAUCGAGGGUUCGAAUCCCUCUCUCUCCG